rnacentral:tRNA from 1 species
AAGGCUUUAGGUUAAAUUAAACCUUUAGCCUUCAAAGUUAACAAUAAAUUUAUUUUAAGCCUUA